UUCCUACGGGGGGCAGCAGUGAGGAAUAUUGGUCAAUGGCCGAGAGGCUGAACCAGCCAAGUCGCGUGAGGGAUGACGGCCCUACGGGUUGUAAACCUCUUUUGUCGGGGAGCAAGACCCGCCUCGUGCAGGCGGAGCGAGAGUACCCGAAGAAAAAGCAUCGGCUAACUCCGUGCCAGCAGCUGCGGUAAUACGGAGGAUGCGAGCGUUAUCCGGAUUUAUUGGGUUUAAAGGGUGCGUAGGCGGAUUUUUAAGUCAGCGGUAAAAUGUCCGGGCUCAACCCGGGCCGGCCGUUGAAACUGGGG
rnacentral:rRNA from 1 species